rnacentral:rRNA from 1 species
UACGAAGGGGCUAGCGUUGCUCGGAUUGACUGGGCGUAAAGGGUGCGUAGGCGGGUCUUUAAGUCAGGGGUGAAAUCCUGGAGCUCAACUCCAGAACUGCCUUUGAUACUGAGGAUCUUGAGUUCGGGAGAGGUGAGUGGAACUGCGAGUGUAGAGGUGAAAUUCGUAGAUAUUCGCAAGAACACCAGUGGCGAAGGCGGCUCACUGGCCCGAUACUGACGCUGAGGCACGAAAGCGUGGGGAGCAAACAGG